rnacentral:rRNA from 1 species
CCUACGGGAGGCAGCAGUGGGGGAUAUUGCACAAUGGGGGAAACCCUGAUGCAGCGACGCCGCGUGGGUGAAGAAGCGCCUCGGCGCGUAAAGCCCUGUCAGCAGGGAAGAAAAUGACGGUACCUGAAGAAGAAGCCCCGGCUAACUACGUGCCAGCAGCCGCGGUAAUACGGAGGGGGCAAGCGUUAUCGGGAUUUACUGGGUGUAAAGGGGGCGCAGACGGCGAUGCAAGCCAGGAGUGAAAGCCCGGGGCCCAACCCCGGGACUGCUCUUGGAACUGCGUGGCUAGAGUGCAGGAGGGGCAGGCGGAAUUCCAGGUGUAGCGGUGAAAUGCGUAGAUAUCAGGAGGAACACCGGUGGCGAAGGCGGCCUGCUGGACUGCAACUGACGUUGAGGCCCGAAAGCGUGGGGAGCAAACAGGAUUAGAUACCCGGGUAGUC